rnacentral:lncRNA from 1 species
UUGCUAUUAUGUUCAUUCAGUAAAUUAAACUAAUAAGUCUACUUUGCUUUAUCUAAAAUGAAAAAUUGAUAAAGUAAAAAAUAACUAUUAAUAUGUACAUAUAAUAUUAAUCAUUAAUUUAAUGAUGAAUGAUUAAUAUACUUAAUUUAUUCUCUCAAGUGAGAUGAGUUGUUGAGUUUAGAUGAAAUGCUUAAAUCCCUGAACCAGUCACGAGUAUGGGCCUCAUUUCCAGACCGUUUGGCCCGUUUAACGAAAAAGAAAAGAAAAAAAAACAGAGAGAGGCAUCGGCGGUGCCUGCCAGAUUCGUGUAGCGAGACUAAGCAGUCUUCCACCACCACCACCACCACACUCUCAUCUGAUUCUCCAACUCUCUCCCUUUUCCAUUUUCAUAUCUCAAAUCAAUUUUUCCAUUUCAAUCGUUUUCACUGUCUGAGAUAACAAGAUCUCAAACCAAAUUAUCUCUAUUCACAACUCAGAUGCACAAAUAAUAAUUAUACACUCAUUUUUCGAUCCAAAUCCUCUUUAUGUCUUGUUUAGCACUUUCUUUGCAACCUUCCAAUGGAUCUGAUAUUCUUCUUCAAACCCGCGAGUGGUUCCCACCCUCACGCGCCCUCGGUGCCCUCUCCGCUUUUCGACAUACACGACGUCAAAUCAAUUUUUCCAUUUCAAUCGUUUUCACUGUCUGAGAUAACAAGAUCUCAAACCAAAUUAUCUCUAUUCACAACUCAGAUGCACAAAUAAUAAUUAUACACUCAUUUUUCGAUCCAAAUCCUCUUUAUGUCUUGUUUAGCACUUUCUUUGCAACCUUCCAAUGGAUCUGAUAUUCUUCUUCAAACCCGCGAGUGGUUCCCACCCUCACGCGCCCUCGGUGCCCUCUCCGCUUUUCGACAUACGCGACGCGCCUUCGCCGCCAACAAAAACAAAAACAACGUUCCCGACGACGCCUACGCCGCCGAAUCCAUCGGCGAUGAUCCCCUCGCCGCUUCCAGCGGCCAAGUCAUCGUCGGUGUCGAAAGCCGCUACCGUAUCGUUUACCGUUUAGUCAACGGAAUCUACGUUCUUGGAAUAACCGUCGCCGAUCACGACAAUUCUGUCAACGUCUUUGAAUGCAUCCACAUCGUAAACCAAGCUGUCAGUGUCGUCGUCACCGCCUGCCGCGGCGU